UACGUAGGGUGCAAGCGUUAAUCGGAAUUACUGGGCGUAAAGCGUGCGCAGGCGGUUUUGUAAGUCUGUCGUGAAAUCCCCGGGCUCAACCUGGGAAUUGCAUUCGAGACUGCGUAGCUAGGAUGCGGAAGAGGGAAGCGGAAUUUCCGGUGUAGCGGUGAAAUGCGUAGAUAUCGGAAGGAACACCAGUGGCGAAAAGCGGCUUCCUGGUCCAGCAUCGACGUUCAGGCACGAAAGCGUGGGGAGCAAACAGG
rnacentral:rRNA from 1 species